rnacentral:rRNA from 1 species
AGACGUCUACAUUAGAUACCCGCGUAGUCCUAGCCGUAAACGAUACUCGCUAGGUGUCGGCCACGGUGCGACCGUUGUCGGUGCCGUAGGGAAGCCGUGAAGCGAGCCACCUGGGAAGUACGGCCGCAAGGCUGAAACUUAAAGGAAUUGGCGGGGGAGCACCACAACGGGUGGAGCUUGCGGUUUAAUUGGAUUCAACGCCGGAAAUCUUACCGGGACCGACAGCAAUAUGAAGGCCAGGCUGAAGACUUUGCCGGAUUAGCUG